ACUUUGCAUGCGCGCCGCGGGUAGGACUGGACGGUCGGAUUUGUAGGCAAUUCUGACACCGAGCUCCCGGGCUCGGUUGGUAGAAGAUCGCUUUGGGAAUCCUCCUACUCUACGAGGACCAAAAACCAAGGACGCCAAGCCAUACAAAUUCAGCACAGCUGACUCAGAGAGGUGGAAAGGAAAUCAGGACAAAAAGCCAAAAUGUCUUCUGGAGGAGGAUAUUGCCAGCCAGAAUAACUGUGAGAGAUGCAAGCAUAGUCCUGGAAACAAACAGCACAAUUCCUUUAAAGCCCUAAAGGAUGAAGAUCUUCCUGUAGAGAAGUAUUUAAUGGAAAGGCAGCCUGUAGGUGAGCCAGCUGCCGACCAGGUAGCUAUGGAUGUGAUGCACAGCCCCAUCCUCCAACUGGAAAGGAAACACAAAGUCUCAAGUGACAGCAACCAGACAGAGACUACUGCAGAGAAGUUGCCAGAGGACUCUUUCCUAAAAAACAAGCAAAAACAGGUUUAUAUAGGGCUACAUCCUAAGAAACACCAUUUGAUGCACCUUAGAGAACAGUAGGAGCAGCAGGUGUUGGCAGCAGAGAACAAACCUAGUCUGCAAGGCAGGAAGGAAGUGACCCAGACAGUCCAGCCUGAGGUCACUGCCUGGGAUUGUGAUAUCAUGAAAGAGAAACUCAGCAAGAAAAGGGCAGAGGUCAAAGGCAACAGAAGCUGGUUGGAAGAAUUUCUUAAACCCAGUGACAACGAAGAAGGCCCUCCACCGAAGAAUAAGGUUUUAUCCAACAAUGCAAGCAGCCAAAAGCCGACUCACUCAAGCUGCAUACCAUUGUUGAGGCUGCCUGAUAAGCAGCAGAAAGUUAAUGAGAGCAUUAAGACAGACAUGCUGUGCACAGACAAGGAAGAGGAGUGCCCUGCUGCCUCCCUGCUGCAGAAAUACACCAAUAACAGUGAGAAGCCAUCUGGGAAGAGACAAUGCAAAACCAAGCACUUGAUAUCUCAGGACCUGAGGCAGGGGUUCCUGCUAACAGGGAAGUGCUACGUUGAGAAUGCUGAUGGCAAGAUACCUCUUGGCACUUGUUUUCUCCUUGGGCUUAUAUAGAGGCUAUUUCCCCUCACCCCAACAUUCCCCACCUACCUGCUUUUCUCAAGGAUGUAAAGCCUUUCUUUUACUGGACUCCUAACUUCCCUGUCUUAGAGGGGAAGUCUUCCUUGAUGGUGAUAAAAUUGGAAACUAUUAAAAUUUAAGUUCAUACCCCAGUCUGUAACACUUUUCCUUUGAUAUUCCACCUCCCAGGAAGGAAAGGAAACUGCCUUCCCCAUGCAGGUUUGUCUUACAGGAAGGAGGAGGGGAAGCAGUGGAUGUGGAAAGGAUGUAGUCUUAAUCUUAACUGUGUAUACUAAUUCGUUUUGUCUUAGUCAACUGUCCCAAGAUUCAGAAAGCAACUUGAACCCAGUUCCAACUAUGAUCUGACUUCAUCCAAGCAGGAGAUGAAGCCCUUCAACUGCUUGCAAGAGUUGCUACCAGCUUCCCAGUCCAUGAAGCUGCCACACUCAUGUUCCCCUCAGGAAACCAACCAAUCUCGCCCAGUGCAGCUGAGAGCAAGGAGAAUUAUUGUCGAUAGGCAUGCUGGUGAGACUCUCCUGCAGCAGGCAGCAUGGCUUGGCUAUGAGGCAAGGUCUUGCUCUGUCACCUAGGCUAGAGUGCAGUGGUGCGAUCUCAGCUUAUUACAACCUCUGCCUCCUGGGCUCAAGUGAUCCUUCUACUUCAGAUUCCUGAGUAGCUGGGACCACAGGCCUCUCCAUGGUGCAGUUGAAAAUGAUUGUUUGGAAAUUGUCCGCCUCCUCCUUUCCUAUGGCGCUGGCCCCACUUUGGCCACCUACUCAGGCAGAACCAUUAUGAAAAUGACCCACAGCAAAGUUAUGGAAAUGUUUCUAACAGAUUACUUAAAUGACCUACAGGGUUGCAGUGACAGUAAGCUGAAUAGCUCUUGGGAGUUCUACGGCAGCUCUGUCUGUGAACCAGAUAAUGGAGGGGAAUCCAAUGUUUUGGCAGACCCCCCAGGACCAGAGGACCAGGAUGAUGACAAUGAGGCUUGCAGUGAUGUGUUUGAAUUUAAAUUUUCAGAUACCCCCUCUUACCUUGUUAAAACAUUCAAGUUUCAUCUUUGCAGGGUUUGUUCUUCUACAAAUGUCUGAUAACCAGAUGAAUCCAGAGUUACCCUCAUCAGAAGUAGACCACAAAACUGGUUAUUGCUUUCAGAUGUACUUAAGAAAGUGAAAAUGUCAUCCUGCAUAUUUCGCUGGAGUUUUCCACAUCUGAAAAUUGUCCCAAUUGCAGAGGCAGAGUUUUACAGACAGGUUUCAGCAAGUAUCUUGUUCUCUUCCUCCAAAGACUUGGAAGCCUUCAAUCUGGAAAGCAACAAACUACUAGAUUUACUAGAAUGUACAAAUGAACUCCAGAUUCUCCUUGGCUCCUCUCUGGAAUGCUUAAAUCCCAGGGAUGUGGCCUUGGAGAAGGACCACUGAUGAGAAGUCAAAUCCCACUGUAUACUGUGUGUUCUAGUGUUCAUCCUUGUUUAUAUUUAUCAAAGUACAACUACUUCUGUGGAGGAGGGACAUUAUUACAUAUGAAAAUAUUUCAGCUUUAUAUAAGAUAAACCCUCUAGCUAGAAGAUUUAGAAAGAUGUCUUUUUAUUUUAAACUUUUGUUAUGAAAUUGCUGAAAUGUUUCUUUAAUUUUCAAUGUAUAGAAACUGCUUUGAAUAAAUUUGUUUUCAUUUGGAACGUCUUUUAAAAGGAAAAUAUAAUGAGGAAAAAGAGCCUCACCUACCUACCUAUUGACUUUUUUCCACACAAAGCUCUGAUGACAGAGAUCAUUGACAUUUAUAAAUAAUGUCAUCAAAAUUGAGUGUUUGGGAGAAUAAAUUUGGUAAAAGCAUUUGAUAUUGUAACUUCUUUGUUUUGUUUGCUGCGUAUCUUCUUAUGCCAGGUAUAUGCUAUUGGGUAUAUUUCAACUUAAAAUUACACUGAAACACAACUAAUUGUAUGAGAUUUAUAACCUAACUUAAAGGUUGUAAAUUAGUUUCUAUGAACCAAUCUCAAAUAUUUUAUGAUCUUCUAAUGAAGAAACUUUAAUUUAUUUUCCUCCUCCUCCUUCUUCUUCUCCUUUUUUCUUUUCUUUCUUUCUUUCUUUCUUUUUUUUUUUUUUUGAGGCAAUGUCUCACUGUUAUCCAGGCUGGAGUGCAGAGGCACAGUCAGAACUCACUGCAGCCUCUACAUCCCUGGGCUCAGUGGUCCUCCCACAAUCAGCCUCUGGAGAAGCUAGGACUAUAGGCCUGUGUAAACAUGCUUCGUUAAUUUUUUUUUUUUUUUUUUUUUUUGUAGAGACAGUGUUUAGCCAUGUUGCCCAGGCUGUUCUAAACCACCUGGGCUCAAGUGAUCCGCCUGCCUCUACCUCCCAAAGUGCUGGGAUUACAGACAUGAGCAGCCAUGCCCAGCCUGUUUUUCUGUUCACUAUAAAAUAUUGAAAAUUAAGGACAGUUGAGUUUGCUUGAAAAUGUAAAUAUUUUAAUUCUGUGCUUAUAAUUUCUUUCAACUUUGUUAGAUUUAUGCUUCUGUAACACUUUUACAGAAAUUUUCUGAAGAUGCAAUAAAACUGUUGAGGAAAGG